rnacentral:rRNA from 1 species
CAGCAGCCGCGGUAAUACGGAAGGGGCUAGCGUUGUUCGGAAUUACUGGGCGUAAGGCGCACGUAGGCGGCUUGGUAAGUUAGAGGUGAAAGCCCGGAGCUCAACUCCGGAAUUGCCUUUAAGACUGCCGAGCUAGUAGGUGAGAGAGGUAAGUGGAAUUCCGAGUGUAGAGGUGAAAUUCGUAGAUAUUCGGAAGAACACCAGUGGCGAAGGCGACUCUCUGGUCUGUAACUGACGCUGAGGAGCGAAAGCGUGGGGAGCGAACAGGAUUAGAUACCCGCGUAGUCCCUGUCUCUUAUAC